rnacentral:rRNA from 1 species
UACGAAGGGAGCUAGCGUUGUUCGGAAUUACUGGGCGUAAAGGGCGUGUAGGCGGUACCAUAAGUCAGAUGUGAAAGCCCUAGGCUCAACCUAGGAACUGCAUUUGAUACUGUGGAACUAGAGAUCGAGAGAGGUAAGUGGAAUUACGAGUGUAGAGGUGAAAUUCGUAGAUAUUCGUAAGAACACCAGUGGCGAAGGCGACUUACUGGCUCGAUACUGACGCUAAGGCGCGAAAGCGUGGGGAGCAAACAGG